UUCAUAAUAAUCAUUUUAUUAUUUUAUUACUUACUGCUUGUUUAAGUACUAUUAGUGAAAGGAAAAUGAUUUGAAAAUGAAUGAUAUUUUUGAAUUUAUGAGGAUCAUAUAUAAAAACUAUGUUUAUGUAUCAUUAUUCUUAUUGAAAUUAGUGAUAGGAGGAUGGAAUGUCCUUUGGGAUGGAAGGCUUUAUACCUUUUUGAUAUUGGCACACCAUAACCUAAUGUCUUCAAACUUAACCAUGCCCAAUUUAAUGUUAUUAAGUUGUUUUAUGAAUACUGAAAAUUUUCAUAAAAAUGUAUUUAUGACUCAUCAUUUGUCUCAAAUCUGUAUUUGUCUAACAUCUGUAAUUAGAUAUUUACCCAUAAAGUGUAUUAAGUAGUUUGAGUUAAUAAGGCCUGUUAAUACCAAGGUGCCUAAUUAUUGCAAAAAAUUAUUAUAGUAAUUUUUUCUUUGAUAAGUAACAACAGUAAAAUGAGUAACACAAGUAUAUAGGAAAAUAGAAACUUAACCACCACUACCACCACCACUAAUAGCAUAAACUUCAUAUGCAAAAGAAAGGAUUAAGAACAAUAGAUAAACAAACAGUGAUUGGUGUGAACUUUAACAUAAAGACAACAGGCAACAUAGCAUACAAAUUUUAUCAUUUUACAUGUAGUUGGUGACAUUAACAGCUGUCAUUAAGCCACUUCGUUCUGAAUUGAUUCCCAAGGGUGUGUGCUUUGCUCUGAAACUUGAUUGAUUUUAGGAUUUGAUUGUGUGUUGUUUAUUCGAGGAAGAAAAAUAGAAAAUGAAUAAGAGAGCAUGAUCCUUCAUGUAACAAAAUAUCUCUGAUAAAUUACAAAAUUAAUAAGUUGCCCAUCAGUUCCAAAUAUUUUUUAUAUUAUUGGUUUUACUUAUGUCAAAUAGAAUAUUGAAAUAUAGAAGUUGGAGAAAAGAUGAGAGCAUCUGCAAUGGAGUGGCUAAAAAUGUGUUUUAUUGAGAAUCUGUUUGACGUGGUUAUGAUUCAUGUGAUGAUUGUCAACACUUAUACUAUGCUCCUUGUGGCAGGUUCUGAUGAACUUAACAAAUGACAACCCUGUGUGCUGUCAGCAAAUUGCUACCUGUGGAGGACUGGGGAAACCUUGUCUUUAUUGAUUGCUGGCCACUUUCCAUCAUUCAGUUCAUCUUUGCCUCCCUUCAGCGAUAUAAGAAAUGAUACUUGUUGUCCAAGUCUUAAGACAUUUUAAAGGGUGUGAUCGGUUAGAAAUUCUUGGAGAGAUGCAAAAUAUGGUCAAAGAAUUCAAGAACUUAGUUUUUAAAGUUUUUUCAUUUUUUAAUAUAUGUAAGCAUGGUUUAAAACUUUUUAUUUAAUUCUUUUGUAUAUACUUUUGAACAUAUUUAAUUUUCAUUUAUGAAAUAUAUGACAUUAUUCUAUUCAAUAUG